CCUAACAUGCGUUGAAGUCCACUCUCUGACCCAUACAUUUAAUUAUACUUUUUAAAAAUUGGUUAUUUAGUUUUUGUAGGUUACGUUUCCUUUUUUGUAUAAAGUAUCUGCCACAUAUUUUUUUUUCUUUUUUUACUAAAAUUAAAACAUCGUUUAUUGUUCUUGUAAUUUGUUUUACUUUUUGCAGAUAUGCUUCCAUAAAUUAUUUUUUCUUCUUGUUAUAUUUUCGCCUCACCAAAACUUCAUUUGACAAUAUUCAAAGGGUUUAUUUGUUAAAUAACCAAAAAAAGGCAAAGUUAGUUUUCUAAAGAGAUGCUAGAGAGAGAUAGAAACAGAAAAGUAGAGAGUGUGUGUGUCUUUGGUUACUUAGUCGAUAUUGGUUUUUUUAGUGAUGAUCUUAUUACUAAAUUUUACCGUUAAUACUGCAUAUAUUCCUAAAUUUUACUGUUAAUACUGCUAAUAUUCCUAGAUUUUAUGGGUGCAAUUUCUCAUAUUCAAAACUACUUAUUUCUUCUUUACCACUAUCAUUUUUAUUUUUUGGUACAAUUAUUUAUAUAAUAACAAUC
rnacentral:lncRNA from 1 species